CCUACGGGUGGCAGCAGUGAGGAAUAUUGGUCAAUGGACGAGAGUCUGAACCAGCCAAGUAGCGUGAAGGAUGACUGCCCUAUGGGUUGUAAACUUCUUUUAUAUGGGAAUAAAAUGUUCCACGUGUGGGAUUUUGUAUGUACCAUAUGAAUAAGGAUCGGCUUACUCCGUGCCAGCAGCCGCGGUAAUACGGAGGAUCCGAGCGUUAUCCGGAUUUAUUGGGUUUAAAGGGAGCGUAGGUGGAUUGUUAAGUCAGUUGUGAAAGUUUGCGGCUCAACCGUAAAAUUGCAGUUGAAACUGGCAGUCUUGAGUACAGUAGAGGUGGGCGGAAUUCGUGGUGUAGCGGUGAAAUGCUUAGAUAUCACGAAGAACUCCGAUUGCGAAGGCAGUUCACUGGACUGCAACUGACACUGAGGCUCGAAAGUGUGGGUAUCAAACAGGAUUAGAUACCCUAGUAGUC
rnacentral:rRNA from 1 species